rnacentral:tRNA from 1 species
GCCUCCGUAGCUUAAAAUAAAGCAUAACAUUGAAGAUGUUAAGACUGAGCCCUAGAAAGCUCCGGAGGCA